rnacentral:rRNA from 1 species
UACGUAGGCAGCAAGCGUUGUUCGGAGUUACUGGGCGUAAAGGGCUCGUAGGUGGCCAACUAAGGCAGACGUGAAAUCCCUCGGCUUAACCGGGGAACUGCGUCUGAUACUGGAUGGCUUGAGUUUGGGAGAGGGAUGCGGAAUUCCAGGUGUAGCGGUGAAAUGCGUAGAUAUCUGGAGGAACACCGGUGGCGAAGGCGGCAUCCUGGACCAACACUGACACUGAGGAGCGAAAGCCAGGGGAGCAAACGGG